rnacentral:misc_RNA from 1 species
GAAAUGCGAUACGUAGUGUGAAUUGCAGAAUUCAGUGAAUCAUCGAAUCUUUGAACGCACAUUGCGCCCUUUGGUAUUCCAAAGGGCAUGCCUGUUCGAGCGUCAUUUGUACCCUCAAGCUUUGCUUGGUGUUGGGCGUCUUUUUGUCUCUCCCCUUGUUGGGGGAGACUCGCCUUAAAACGAUUGGCAGCCGACCUACUGGUUUUCGGAGCGCAGCACAAAUUUGCGCCUUCCAAUCCACGGGGCGGCAUCCAGCAAGCCUUUGUUUUCUAUAACAAAUCCACAUUUUGACCUCGGAUCAGGUAAGGAUACCCGCUGAACUUAAGC